UGCCAGCAGCCGCGGUAAUACGAAGGGUGCUAGCGUUGUUCGGAAUUAUUGGGCUUAAAGGGUGCGUAGGCGGCGUCAUAAGUCGGGUGUGAAAUCCCUCAGCUCAACUGAGGAACUGCGCCCGAUACUGCGAUGCUUGAGGGAGACAGGGGUAAGCGGAACUGAUGGUGGAGCGGUGAAAUGCGUUGAUAUCAUCAGGAACACCAGUGGCGAAAGCGGCUUACUGGGUCUCUUCUGACGCUGAGGCACGAAAGCUAGGGUAGCGAACGGGAUUAGAUA
rnacentral:rRNA from 1 species